CUACGUGCCAGCAGCCGCGGUAAUACGUAGGGUGCGAGCGUUAAUCGGAAUUACUGGGCGUAAAGCGAGCGCAGAUGGUUACUUAAGCAGGAUGUGAAAUCCCCGGGCUCAACCUGGGAACUGCGUUCUGAACUGGGUGACUAGAGUGUGUCAGAGGGAGGUAGAAUUCCACGUGUAGCAGUGAAAUGCGUAGAGAUGUGGAGGAAUACCGAUGGCGAAGGCAGCCUCCUGGGAUAACACUGACGUUCAUGCUCGAAAGCGUGGGUAGCAAACAGGAUUAGAUACCCUGGUAGUCCACGCCCUAAACGAUGUCAAUUAGCUGUUGGGCAACUUGAUUGUUCAGUAGCGUAGCUAACGCGUGAAAUUGACCGCCUGGGGAGUACGGUCGCAAGAUUAAAACUCAAAGGAAUUGACGGGGACCCGCACAAGCGGUGGAUGAUGUGGAUUAAUUCGAUGCAACGCGAAGAACCUUACCUGGUCUUGACAU
rnacentral:rRNA from 1 species